rnacentral:snRNA from 1 species
GCGAUGCGUCCUGGUCGG